CCUACGGGUGGCAGCAGUGGGGAAUAUUGCACAAUGGGGGAAACCCUGAUGCAGCAACGCCGCGUGGGUGAAGAAGCGUUUCGGCGCGUAAAGCCCUGUCAGCGGGGACGAAGGAAGACGGUACCCGACCAAGAAGCCCCGGCUAACUACGGGCCAGCAGCCGCGGUAAUACGUAGGGGGCGAGCGGUAUCCGGAAUUACUGGGGGUAAAGGGGGCGUGGACGGCGGGGUAAGCCCGGAGUGGAAGCCCGGGGCCCAACCUCGGUACUGCGUUGGGAACUGUUUUGCUGGAGUGUGGGAGGGGUAAGCGGAAUUCCUGGUGUAGCGGUGAAAUGCGUAGAUAUCAGGAGGAACACCGGUGGCGAAGGCGGCUUUCUGGACCAUAACUGACGUUGAGGCUCGAAAGCGUGGGGAGCGAACAGGAUUAGAUACCCUAGUAGUC
rnacentral:rRNA from 1 species